rnacentral:rRNA from 1 species
UACGUAGGCAGCAAGCGUUUGUUCGGAGUUACUGGGCGUAAAGGGUGCGUAGGUGGCUCUAUAAGUAUGGUGUGAAAUCUCCCGGCUUAACUGGGAGGGUGCGCCGUAGACUGUGGGGCUAGAGUGUGGGAGAGGAAAGUGGAAUUCCUGGUGUAGCGGUGAAAUGCGUAGAUAUCAGGAGGAACACCGGUGGUGUAAACGGCUUUCUGGACCGUAACUGACGCUGAGGCAACGAAAGCGUGGGUAGCAAACAGG